rnacentral:tRNA from 7 species
GUCUAGCUUAGUUGGUAAAAAUAAGGCUCUUAACCUUGUGGUUGUGGGUUUGAACCCCAUGGUGGAUG